GUCUUUACAAUAAAGACCUGUACGUGAUAAAGACAGCGGUGUCCCUGUCGCCACGGUGAUAUGAGUCUAUUCCGAAGACAUCAACAAACUCUCCCUCAGACACUCCAUCCAGAGAGCAGCUACUCAGGUAUGGAGAGAACAGAGGAUGAUUUUACCAGAGGCUCAAGAGAACCCAGAGAGGAUUCAUCUUCACUAGUUUUGUUUCAGUGUGAGGACGUAUACAAUGCAAAACAUUAUAUUGUACUUCGCUACAAAUGGCCCCCAAAGGUAUUUUUUAUCACAUUAAAGAUCUUGUGUUUCAGGGCUACAUUAAACAGAUGCAUCACUUGUGAAUUACAUAAAUAUUAAACAUCAAUAGGAUCAAUUAAACAAGUUGUGUUGCAACAAUGAAAACUAUGUUGAAUGGAAACAGUGCAUAUAAAGAUUGUUUUCGUAAAGCAUUCUUACAUGCUACUGACUUGUCAAAACUUGCAUGUCAUAUGUCAUGAUAGAGACUUGGUUUUAGCUACCUCACUCAUCCCUUUUUCACUCUACUGAGGGGAGCCAAACUGAGCCAAGCCAGUACUGCGCCAGCCUUGACCGGGAUCCAAUCGGAUCGCGCUUGUAGACAAUACAGCUUUUAAAGGCAAUGUUACCUCAUUCGUGGAGAUUGCAAGGUAAUGUCAGCUCAAUUAGAAUUAUUUGUCAGCUCAAUUAUUAGUCAAGCUCGCUAUAGUGCGGUUUUGGAUUGAAUCCCGACACUUGAAACUGUACUGGAAAGUAGAAUGUGAAAGGAAAAUAUCCAAGCCAGCAUGGUAUUGUGCAUCAUUGGUAUCAUUCCACCCUGAACUGUGGUAUACUAACCUACAUACCUGUAAUGUAUGUAGUUUUCUGGCGUGCCAUAGGAUGGCACUGACACUAACAGUAUUAUGAAGUGUAGUCUAUUAAAUUAGUCUGACAGGUAGUAAAUGUUGUUCUGUACCCGCAUCCCUGGCCUCAGUGUAUCAGGAAAUUGAGAACAUUGGUAGAAUAAACAGAUUAUGAUUAGGACGAGUAAAUCAAUCACAAGAAGGAGAUUCAUACUAAUUAUUUAUUAAUGGGCUAAAAACAUACACAGACAAAUUCUAUUUAAAAAUUGUAAUUUUUAAAAAUCAACCAUAAAAUCUGUACACCAGUAUCAUAGUAGUGAGUCUAGACAUGCUGCACUGGACUGACAGGCUUAUGCAACUACCACGGCUCAAUGACUACAGAAAUGUUUCACGUUUUCCGGGAGCUAUUAAUAUGCGAACCACGGACAUUCAGCAAGCAGCAACAGACCUACAGUGCAACAUUUCACAGUAUCAUCUAGGACAUAUGUCUGAUAAUUUGCCCCAAAAGUUAUAUUGGUUUAGUUCAGCUGGACAACAUGUUAACACCAAAUCACACAGACAGCAUUGACAUUACAGCACUUGACUUAAUUAAGCAUUCUUAAAUAACAGCACAUGGCUCCUUAGAACGCGACCCAUUAUACACAGGUGGUCCACAGAAAGGGAUACCAACACGUCACAGAACGUUGCUGCAAGGUUGGUUCCUCUUGUAUUUUGCGGAACAUAUGAAGACAAAUACAGGCAGAAUUAGCAUUUGAGAGACCCAUUCCACCAUUAUAUAACGUAAUGGUCAAUAGUUAGUCUAAGAGGCAAAUGGAAGGGGGGGGGGUGUCCUAUAAGUUCCUCUAUGGCUAAAAACAGAAGAGCAAAAUUUAGAGAGGGAAAACUUAAAUGACUUGAUUCCUUGGCAGACAUUUUUCAUAGUUAUUGGUGGUCCAUUGAUAGCAGCAUUGGAACGGAGGAUAGAAGUCUUGGGAAUAGGGUGCCAUUUGGGACGCAGACCCAUAUAUACCGUGGCCCUGGGUCUCUGGACACUGCUUAUUGGGUGCCUUCCAUUUGCAAAACACUACCUCUUAAAACAACAC
rnacentral:lncRNA from 13 species